GUGCUCCCUUUGGCAGCACAUAUACUAAAAGUGGAAUGAUGCAGACAUUAGCAUGGUCUCUGCACAAGGAUGACAGGCAAACUCGUGAAGUGUUCCAUAUUUAA